AAGUCGUAACAAGGUAACCGUAGGUGAACCUGCGGUUGGAUCAUUAAAAAAUUAGGGUAGCCCAACCAAAAAUUGGGCUCACUCCAACAUUUUGUGAACUGUUUAUUGUCUCUUGUGGGUUUGUAGUGACUGGCAACGGUCAUUGCUCCCACAAUUUUGAACCUAGUAUUAAUUCUUGCCUUUACUUGUAUUUUAUUAAAUUAAAAACAACUUUUGACAACGGAUCUCUAGGCUCUC
rnacentral:misc_RNA from 1 species